ACAGGGAACAGCACAUAGAUGAGAUUGUGACACUUAUAUUCAUACCCAGCUGACAGAAAAAUUGUCAUUCUUCCACAUAGACAUAGCUCACUGUGGAGGCUCUGAAUCUCACACCAGGAGGCAGCACCUGAGUGAUUUGACUCUCCUGCCUUGGCCCAGUCCACAGAUAGCAUUAUGACAUGUUGCUGAACCCGGCACCUAGGAGAUGUGACUUUAUUUUCCUGCCUUGGUACUGCCCACAGUUGUGUCCACAGGAGCGAUUUUGAUGUAUUGCUGGGCCGAACACAAAGGUGAUGUUCUGCCCACAAGGGAAAUGGUGACAUAUCACUGUGCCCAGCACCAAGGUGACGUUACUCUUUUGCCUUGGCCCUGCCCUCAGAAGACAUUGUGACAAAUAGCUGAGCCCAGAACCAAGGUUCUACCAACAGGGAAGAUUGUGACAUAUCACUGGGCCUAACACCAAGGUGUAGUUACACUUUUGCCUUGGCCCAGAACUCUGAAGUUCACUGUGACGUACUGCUGGGCCCAGCACCAAGGUGAUGUGAGUCUCCUGCCUGGAGCCUGCACACAGGGGCUAUUGUGACAUAUCUCUGGGCCCAUUUACUAUUUGUUGUUACUCUCUUCUCUUACCUUGGCUUUGCCUGUAGGAGAGGCAAAUCCCAGCACUUUGGGAGACCAAGGCGGGACAUAACUCUGGGCCCAGCACCUAGGUGAUGUGACUCCCUUUUCUGCCUGGAUGGUGCUCACAGAAGAGAAAGUGACUUAUUUCUGGGCCCAGCAGAGAGGUGAUGUGAUUCUUCUGCCUGGUCCCUGCCCACAAAACUCAUUGUGACUUAACUCUGGGCCCAUCACCUAAAUGACGUGACUCUCCUCUUCUUCCUGUGUCCUGUACAUGUUCUACCAACAGGGAACAUUGUAACAUAUCUCUGGGUCCAUCACCUGGAUAAUGUGACUCUUCUUGGGACCUAUUCACAGUGAAAAUUGUGACACAUCUCUUGGGUUCUGCCCACAAGGGAGAUUUUGACUUAUUGCUGUCCUCAAAAUGAAGGUGAUGUGACACUUUUGCCUUGGACCCACCCUUGAAGACAUUGUGACAUAUUUCUUAGCUCAGCAUCAAAACGAUGUGUCUUCUUAGUAGACUCUGCCAACAUGGGGCAUUGUGACAUAUCUUUGGGCCCAUCAGCUAUUGAUGUAACUCUCUUCUCUUACAUGGACUUUGCUCACAGAAGAGACUAUGAAAUAUCUCUGGGCCCAGCAAAUAGGUGAUGUGACUCUUCUCUACUGCUUGGGCUCUGCUCAUGAGAAAAUUGUGAUGGAUUGCUGAACCCAGCACCUAGGUAAUGUAACUCUCUUCUCUUGCCUGGGCCCGGCAUAAAUUGUGUAUUGUGACAUGGGGCUCGAUCACAAACCUAGGUAAUGCUACUCUCUUGCAUUGGCUCUGCCCACCAGGGUAUUAUGACACAACUUUUCAUUCAUCGCCUAGGCGAUGUGACCCCCCGCUUCUGCUUGAAUCUUGCCAAAAGAGGAAAUGAUAACAUAUCACUAUACUCAGCACCUAGGUGCCAUGACUUGCCUUUUUCCCCAGGCAAUGCAUAUAUUGGGAAUUAUGACAUAUCACUGGACCCAACAUGUAGGGAAUAAAAGACUCCUGCCUGUGUUCUGCUGACCUAGAA